CAUUAGUAGUGGUAAAAAUGAAAAGUGGUAUCAUAAAAGUGGUAAACAUGUAAUUUCCCAUAUUUUCAAAUAUAUGUUAAAUAAUUCGAUGAUUAAUAUAUUUUACACAGAUUUAUUUGAAUUAUAAGAAUACCACAAAUAAAUUUCAAUUUAAUAUUUUCUUCAAAAAUAAACAUAGAAGUGGAGUUUAUUUGGAAUAUAAAAAAAUUAGAGAUAUAACUAUCUAUCUUAUUAAGUACAUUUUAUUUAGGGCAAUUCUCUUAAAUAGCACUUAAAUUCUUAAGUAUUUAUUUUGAAACUUUAAGUAUUUAUUUUUAUUUUUAAAAAAAUUUGAAAUCCUAUCCCCAAAACCCUACUCCUUAACUCUAAACCCUAAGUCUAGACUAGUUAACCCUAAGAUGAAAAUGUAUUUUUAUCAUUUAAUACAAUUUAUUUUGGUCAUUUUCUUCUUUGAAAGCUACUUUUAUGACAAAAAUUUAAAAACGAUUAUCAUAGGAAAUUUCUCUUUUAUUUGACAUAAUAUAUUUUAUCUUAUUAAUCUAACCUAUACUAAAAGGAGCAUAUACUGAUCAGAGAGCCUGUCCACGUAGGACAUUAAAAUCAUCCAAUCAGGAGAGUCGUUUUUGACACGUCAGCAAGACCUUAGAAAUGUGGACUUCGUUUUUUUUUAAUCUGAUUUCUUCUAUGGGCUUUUUAUGUUUUCUCUAUCAAAGCCCAGAUGUCAUCAGGGUUUUCUUUUUUUUUUUUUCACGAUCAGAAGAGUGUCGCGUGACUCUUCACAUCUCACCACCUCCGGCAGUGUCUCUGUAACGGCCUGAGUUUUUGUCACCUGAAUACAUUAAUCCAUUCAUUUACGUCUUAUAAAUCACUCAUCCCACUCUCUCGAAUUAAAUCGACCAUAUUCUUCGUGUCGACAUGCUCCUCCUUGACGAGCAGGUUACAGAGAGCUGCUCACUUAGGAUUGAAUCAGCGCGAGGAUGUCAUCGACGUUUAUACGAAGGGGCUUGAUAUCGAUCCAAACAAAUUAUGUUUGGCAGACGCUCAAGGCUUUGCGUCGAGUCCACACACCAUCUUGAAUCCGUUUGGGGAUGGUUCCAAUGGCUAGAGAUGUCGGAGAAACUAACGGCUGAAUAUUCAGCUAGAGGACUCAGGCGGGUGAAGCAGCGGCGGAUCAGGAGGAUAAGAUGGUUGUGCCUCCAAGGAAGGAGCAUGGAGUACAGAAGAAAUAAGACCCGGAGCAUGAACCUGGGUCGAACUUUGGAGAAGAAAAGGUAAAGCUUUAAACAAGAAUGGGGAAUUUUACAUACAAGGACGUCGAAACAAUAUCAGGAAUUACUCAGCCAUGGAAACUGAUGAUGAAUAAAUCUCUUUAUCACAAAUCGUGCUGCUGUUCAUCUGGAGAUGGCAAAGGUAUAAUAUUUAUGUAUAUGUGUAUAGUUUUCUCUAUAUUAGUCUACAGUUUUUAUGUGAUUUACUUGGUACGUGGUUGAGUCUAAAUGUGUUCAUGUUUGAUUCAGUAUUAUGAGUGAAUCAAUAUAUAGUUUUUAUGUAUAUUAGUCUAUAUUGAUUUGUUUGGUACAUGGUUGAGUGUUAAUAUGAUCAUGUUUGAAUCAGUAGGAUGAGUGAAGGUAUAGUUUCAUUGAUGCCACUGAAUAUGCCAGUGAGAUGCAAUUAACUCAGGUAGCUAGCUUAAUUUUUACUGUAUUUGGUUGAUGAUUCGUGUUUUUGUUGGU